rnacentral:rRNA from 1 species
GACGUAGGGAGCGAGCGUUGUCCGGAAUUACUGGGCGUAAAGAGCUCGUAGGCGGGACCGUAAGUCCGAGAGGAAAUCUCAAGGCUCAACUUUGGGGCUUUCUUGGAUACUGCGGUUCUUGAGGAUGAGAGAGGUAAGUAGAAUUCCUGGUGUAGCGGUGAAAUGCGCAGAUAUCAGGAGGAACACCGGUGGCGAAGGCGGGUCUCUGGGCCGAUACUGACGCUGAGGAGCGAAAGCGUGGGGAGCGAACAGG